GUUUUCCAUACAGGGCGCGCACACGACGCCUGGAAACCAUUCUAUGCUCGCGCAGCAGCAGGAGCGAAAUGCCGGUGUUGCACAGCGGUGUCACAGAGCCACCGCGCUGCGACCACUUCGGCGGCACAAUCCAAAUUUGUCGGACAUCUCAUUCUGUGCUGGAAACACUGGGAGGCAGGAAGUUUGAAAAAAAACGGCCACUCCCGCCCGCAAUGUCUCGGUCGUGGGUUCGUUAUGCCAGUUGUUCAAGCCGUUCUGUACAUUUAUACUGGAUAUUAACUGGAGUCAUUCAGCUGUGCUGAUGCUGUUUGCCGUGUGUUUUGCAUCAGUGCUUCGUGACAUCGGCUGUAUUGCGUGUUUUCGCCGACGGCUUACUACCACAAUGGCGGGAUCUGCGUUCGCCGCCUUCGUGUCUCGGUGCGUCUUUGUACGUCGCACGUUCAACACUUUUUCCGAUGGCUGGACAUCCUUCUUGUACCUUGGCGCUAGCUGGAUGACGGGACCUCAUCAUGAUCAGUGUAUUGCUUUCCUAUGUCUACAAGAACCGUCAUGGGUGGCCUGUGACAGCAAGCUUUUGUGGGCAGCCAGUGCUCUCCUACGAAGGCUGGCCUACUCUGGCAGCGGCGGCAAUCAUCUUCAAGAUUUAUCGAUGAUCACCUUUGCUGCGAUUUGUCACUCUUCUUAAUUACACUUUCUGCAUCUUUUCUAAUCUAUUAAGUAAUAAAGUAUGAGUAUGUGACAUGGUGUGAAGUUGAUGCCUUGCUGCAUUUUAGCUUGCAAUCACCUUUUAUGCAUGAAAAGCUCAUCAUACAAUUUAUGAAAAAAAAAAUAACAGCAUAUUAUGAUUUAUCUUUCAGUAUCUUGUAACAUGCAACAUACAAGGAAUUCACUAAUGGAUGGUAUGCCGAAGAACUGGCCAUUAUUUCUGCGUGAUGCUGUGCAAGCAUUUGGCGUUACCUUACAAGAGGCACC